rnacentral:sRNA from 1 species
CAUGCUCGAUCUGCUGCGGGCAGAUGAAGUGGAUGUGGCUGUCGAUCGCGCCGGCGGUCACGAUGCUGCCUUCGCAGCUCAGGAUCUCGGUGCCCGGGCCGAUGACGAUGUCGACGCCGGGCUGCACGUCCGGGUUGCCCGCCUUGCCGAUCUUCACGAUGCGGCCGCCCUGGAUGCCGAUGUCGGCCUUGACGAUGCCCCAGUGGUCGAGGAUCAGCGCGUUGGUCAGCACCAGGUCCAUGGCACCGGAGGCGUUGGUGCGCUGGCUCUGCGCCAUG